UACGGGGGGGGCAAGCGUUGUUCGGAAUUACUGGGCGUAAAGGGUUCGUAGGCGGCCAACUAAGUCAGACGUGAAAUCCCCAGGCUCAACCUGGGAACUGCGUCUGAUACUGGAUGGCUUGAAUCCGGGAGAGGGAUGCAGAAUUCCAGGUGUAGCGGUGAAAUGCGUAGAUAUCUGGAGGAAUACCGGUGGCGAAGGCGGCAUCCUGGACCGGCAUUGACGCUGAGGAGCGAAAGCCAGGGGAGCAAACGGG
rnacentral:rRNA from 1 species